rnacentral:rRNA from 1 species
CCUACGGGUGGCAGCAGUGGGGAAUAUUGCGCAAUGGGCGAAAGCCUGACGCAGCGACGCCGCGUGAGGGAUGAAGGUUUUCGGAUCGUAAAGCUCUGUCAGCAGGGAAGAACGGUCACUUUGCUAAUCAGCAGUGAAUUGACGGUACCUUCCAAGGAAGCACCGUCUAACUCCGUGCCAGCAGCCGCGGUAAUACGGAGGGUGCUAGCGUUCAUCGGAAUUACUGGGCGUAAAGCGCUCGUAGGCGGUAUGUCAAGUCAAGGGUGAAAUCCCCGCGCUCAACGUGGGAACUGCCUUUGAAACUGGCAAGCUGGAGUGUGUGAGAGGAUAGUGGAAUUCCAGGUGUAGGAGUGAAAUCCGUAGAUAUCUGGAGGAACAUCAGUGGCGAAGGCGACUAUCUGGCACAUAACUGACGCUGAGGAGCGAAAGCGUGGGUAGCAAACAGGAUUAGAUACCCUGGUAGUC